rnacentral:rRNA from 1 species
GACAGAGGAGCCAAGCGUUGUCCGGACUGACUGGGCGUAAAGCGCCCGCAGGCGGCCGUGCACGUGGGGUGUGAAAGCUCGCGGCUUAACUGCGAGAGGCCAUCCCAUACGGCGCGGCUCGAGCCGUCCAGAGGCCGGUGGAAUUGCCGGUGUAGUGGUGAAAUGCGUAGAUAUCAGGAGGAACACCGGUGGCGAAGGCGGCUACCUGGACGGAAACUGACGCUGAGGCGCGAAAGCUAGGGGAGCAAACAGG